rnacentral:rRNA from 1 species
GACGGAGGAUGCAAGCGUUACCCGGAAUUAUUGGGCGUAAAGCGUCCGCAGGUGGUGGGGGGUGUCUAUUGUCAAAGCGUCAUGCUUAACAUGAUAUAGGCAGUAGAAACUACACAGCUAGAGUGCGUUCGGGGCAGAGGGAAUUCCUGGUGUAGCGGUGAAAUGCGUAGAGAUCAGGAAGAACACCGGUGGCGAAAGCGCUCUGCUAGACCGCAACUGACACUGAGGGACGAAAGCUCGGGGAGCGAAUGGG